UGGUGCGAUCAUACCAGCGUUAAUGCACCGGAUCCCAUCAAAACUCCCCAUUUAAGUGCGCUUGGGCGAGAGUAGUACUAGGAUGGGUGACCCCCUGGGAAGUCCUCGUGUUGCACCCC